CCUGUUUACAGGGUUACAUGCAGUCAAUUUGAUAUAUAGCACACAUUGUUCAGUGAAUGCUGCCUAGGAUUUGUAAAAUAGAAUGCAAAUGGUUGUUUUUGGUAUUAAUUUGAAGGUAUAUUUGUAAGCAAUAAGAAAAAAAGCCAUUUUUGUGCUCUACUUUUUCUGUCGAUGGUUCCCGGCUUUGAAAGUAGGUCAUACUAUUUGAGUAAAAAUGGUCGCCUCCACAUGUGUCAAAACUGGUGUGCCUAUUCUAAGGUAAAUAUUUUGAGUUACAACACAUAGAAUUUGAUGGCAUGCAUUUUUUUCAAAAGAUUAUGCAUUUAUCUUUCCAAUGAUGUAUGAUGAUAUAGUGUUGAAACGCUUGGUCAUGGUAAAAAUUGAUAUCGAACAUCAACUAUUUUAUAUGUAAUAUAGAAGGAAAUUAAUUGCGCAUGCGUAACCUUUAAGAACUUCCGACCAAGUUAGUCGUCUGCCAGAAUUUUGACAAUUGACCAUCAAAAACUCUCUGUAUUGCAAAACAUAACUGCCAGAUGUCAUUUUGACCCAAAUUAGGGCUGUUUGCAAUUGGGCUGUAGCACUUGGGGUAAUAAGGGGGGUAAAUGCUGGAAAAUCACACCGAAACCUGUUCCGGAGACAUAUUCUAAGACUACUUAAACACUCGGUCCGGCUGAAGUGACAGGCCAUCAAAAACUGUACAGCAUGACUGAUUCCGAGACAGCCCUCAACAUUCGCCCAGUCGUGUCGAGAGGAUCGGUGUCUUUGUAGAUUACACGGAAUCGAGCACCCGGGCCAGACUGACACUUUCCGGAGCCUGUCCGAGACGGAACGCGAGCCUAGGAAUCAUAGGUCCAGGUCCGGCUGAAGUGACAGGCCAUCAAAAACUGUACAGCAUGACUGAUUCGGAGACAGCCCUCAACACUCGCCCAGUCGUGUCGAGAGGAUCGGUGUCUUUGUAGAUUACACGGAAUCGAGCACCCGGGCCAGACUGACACUUUCCGGAGCCUGUCCGAGACGGAACGCGAGCCUAGGAAUCAUAGGUCCAGGUCCGGCUGAAGUGACAGGCCAUCAAAAACUGUACAGCAUGACUGAUUCGGAGACAGCCCUCAACACUCGCCCAGUCGUGUCGAGAGGAUCGGUGUCUUUGUAGAUUACACGGAAUCGAGCACCCGGGCCAGACUGACACUUUCCGGAGCCUGUCCGAGACGGAACGCGAGCCUAGGAAUCAUAGGUCCAGGUGUGGCAAAAGACUUAAAGCUCAUGUCUGACGAUCACUUUUUUUGAGUCAGGAAUUCAAGUGUGUUGUCUUUCCAUGCAAGCAAGCCCUUUUGUUGGGUGAAAUGACAUCAGAAAUGCUGCU